rnacentral:lncRNA from 1 species
AAGCAAAAGUGACGCCGCUGCAAAGGAACUCCAUGAGUCCUGGACAAUGCUUGUCACUCCUGCAACAGAAACAAAUUAAAAUGGAACAAAUGUUACAUACUGUUGCAAUAAGGAAACAUGUUUCACUACAACUAAAGAGAAACUUAUCUUUAGGAUUCAAAUAGAACAUAUGCAAUGGAACCUAGAGAGAUCACUAUAGCUAUCCAAUGGAACCUAGAGAGAUCACUAGCUAUAUGCAAUUUUCA